rnacentral:rRNA from 1 species
UACGAAGGGGGCUAGCGUUGCUCGGAAUCACUGGGCGUAAAGCGCUCGUAGGCGGUUCUUUAAGUCAGGGGUGAAAUCCCAAGGCUCAACCUUGGAACUGCCUUUGAUACUGGGGAUCUCGAGUCCGGAAGAGGUGAGUGGAACUGCGAGUGUAGAGGUGAAAUUCGUAGAUAUUCGCAAGAACACCAGUGGCGAAGGCGGCUCACUGGUCCGGCACUGACGCUGAGGUGCGAAAGCGUGGGGAGCAAACAGG